UACGUAGGGAGCAAGCGUUGUCCGGAAUCAUUGGGCGUAAAGCGCGUGUAGGCGGUUACAUAAGUCUGUUGUGAAAGUCGGAGGCUCAACCUUCGAAAGCCGAUGGAUACUGUGUGACUUGAGUACGGAAGAGGAGAGUGGAAUUCCUGGUGUAGCAGUGAAAUGCGCAGAUAUCAGGAGGAACACCAACGGCGAAGGCAGCUCUCUGGGACGUUACUGACGCUGAGACGCGAAAGCGUGGGGAGCAAACAGG
rnacentral:rRNA from 1 species